rnacentral:rRNA from 1 species
UACGUAGGGGGCAAGCGUUGUCCGGAUUUAUUGGGCGUAAAGAGCGUGUAGGCGGCCAGACAGGUCAGCUGUGAAAACUCGAGGCUCAACCUCGAGACGUCGGUUGAAACCGUCUGGCUAGAGUCCGGAAGAGGAGAGUGGAAUUCCCGGUGUAGCGGUGAAAUGCGCAGAUAUCGGGAAGAACACCCGUGGCGAAGGCGGCUCGCUGGGACGUUACUGACGCUGAGACGCGAAAGCGUGGGGAGCAAACAGG